CUGCGGUGGAAGAGCCCAGCCCGCAGUGAAUGGGAGAGCAGCAAGCAGGGGAAAGGAGAACCACCACCCCUUUGCAGGGAAUCCUGGCCCCCUCCCCACCUCACCCAGGAGAGGCUGAAGCUGACCCACGGAGCCAGAGGGAGAUGAUGCAAGAUUGCCUCCCCCCCCCCGCCACCUCUCUGAAGCUUCCUGGGGUGAGAUGGUGGAGUGCAGCAUCUCCUGCAGCAAAUUACAGGUUAACAGAGGUUGGAAAGGACCUUGCAGGUCAUCUAGUCCAGGGGUCAGCCAACCUUUUGGACCUCAGGGACCCCCAAACUCAUACUUUUAAAUCCCACGGACCAGAGACCCUGGGAAAAUCCCCAAAAAGACUGCAGGAAAAUCCUCCACCCCGUUUUCCUAUCGAUCGAUCGUACUUUAUUUGGGAUGGCAGGAUACCAUCGCCAGCUCCUUUCUCAGGGAGAGAGGAGAGAAAGAAAGACUUUGGAUGCUUUCCUUGCAUGCAGCCAGAAGCAGAAGAAGAAAGAAGCUGAAAGAAGCAGCCCGGUGGCCAGGCCAGGCGCGUGGGGUGCAUGGGGCAAGUUCCCCCCCUCUGCCCUUUCCCCCCUCCCCUCACUACCUCGUGUUGUUCGCAAUGCAAGCAACGCAAACCUUGUGUUCCCGCAGGCCAUGUGGCCGGAGCAGCCUUGUGUUCCUGCGCAGCCUGGAUUAAUUGCUUUGAGGGGACAUUUUCUCACGGACCACCAGUGGUCCCCGGCCCACCGGCUGCUGACCACUGCUCUAGUCCAAUCCUUCCCUGCCCAAGCGGGAGACCCUACACGGCUUCUGACCGAUGGCCGUCCAUUUGUCAGGCACGGCUCUUCCCCUAUGUUGGGGCAGGGGAUCCGUGGGGCCAGCCUCCCGUUGACUGACGCAGAACCAACAAAGGUUCCCCGUGGGGAGAACCCCAGCAAGACUGGGAGUGACUCACCCCACUGCCUCGUUUCGGGGUCUGUCCUUGGGGCCUGAUUGGAUGCCGGGAUUUGGGCGAGGGAGCCUUCUGGAGCCGUGACAGCUAGUCCUCGACUCAACGACCGCAGCGGAGCCCCACCCUUCCAUGGCUGAACAAGACCCAGAGCGCGUUUUGCCCCGUGGCGUGGCCUCGCUUGCCACCGUCGUUAAGUGAAUCGCUGCCAUUGAUAAGUAAGUCAUGAGGUCCUUAAGUGAAUCUUGGCUCUCCCUGUUGACUUUGCCGGUCAGAAGGUCUCAAGAGGGGGAUCGCAUGGAAAAAAAAAAAACCCCGGACGACACUGCGUCCGUCAUAAAUACAAGUCAGUGGCCGCAUUUGAAUUGGAGGCCACAGCGGCCGUAAGUGUGAAAACAAAGUCCCUUUUUUCAGUGCCGCUGUAACUCCUGAACGGUCACUCAGUGAAGCAUCGUAAGUCAAGGACUACCUGUAGUUUUGGGGUCCACUCUGGUGGCAUCCUCCCAGACUGAACGGAGCCCCCAAUACUCAGUCUGCUGACUCUCCCUGCCCCUCUCUAGUCAGGGGCAGGGGUCUGUCUCUAUUGAACCCCUCCCCCAAGUCCAACCAGGGGAGGGGGAGGGGCGGGAAUAGCCCACCUUGAAAGCCAGGUUUCCAUCCGGACCCUCCCCUGUUUUACUGCCUCUGAGUAAGAAGCCCCUGAGCCUCUCUAGUCAUUUUGAUGUUACUCUUCUGAAUAUUGCAGUGAGUAUCUUCUUACAAUGCCCAUUCUGCCUUCACCAACCCACAAAUUACACUGGCCUUCCCCAACCCCCACCCCACACUCGUUUUUCCAGUGGGCCUGGGGGACCCCGAGUGGGAUGGGGCCCAUCCCACGGCUCCUUUGAUGGUGGGUGGGUCGCGAGGAGGGGGCCUAUUGUUUUCUAUUUUCCUUUUUUUAAGAAUAAAUUUUUUAGUUGAUGGGGUUUUGUUUUAAUACUGUCUUCCUCUUAGAAAUUCAGACACAGCCCUCUGCCUCCUGCAUUGUUAAAAACAUUUUUUGCCUAUUAAGUGAGAUUACAGUAGCUCAGGGCUCCCCAGCCUUGGCUGCUUUAAGACUGGUGGACUUCAACUCCCAGAAUCCCCAGCCAGCAGAGCCUAGGGGCCUUGGAGGUCAAUUAGUCCAACCCCCAACCCCCUGCCAGGAGUGUCCAACUUUGGAACUUUAAGACUGGCCGGAGAAUUCUGGGAGUUGGAAGUCCACCAGUCUUAAAGCGGCCAAGUUUGGAGACCUCUGCAAGCAGAUACAAACAGACAAAGUCCCUCAGCAAACUUCCUGUUCUAUUAAAUAUUUGAAAGUGCAGAUUUUUUUCAGUCCAGGUCCAGCCAAGAUUUUUGCUCGUAUCUGGACUAAAUAUGUUGAUGUCUCCCUAUGGAGAUUUUCAAUCAUCCAGUUCAUGGAUGGUCCCAAAAGUGUUUUUCCAACUUCCUCAUUUUUUGUUUUUUCAAAUGUUUCACUUUGAAAACUUUUUAAAAUAAUUUUUCUAUCCUGUUUUUUAAUUCCUUGUAAGCCGCUGUGAGCGAGUAGACGGCGGUAUAAAUUUUCUAAAUGAAACAAAAACCAACCAACCAAUCAAUAAGGGGGUUGGACUAGAUGACCUACAAGGUCCCUUCCAACUCUGGUGAUCUGUUAUCUGUUAUAAAUUUGCAAUUACUGAGUCUGGAAUACAGGCCACAGUUCAGCCCAGAAUUGAUGUGGCCAACCGAGUACAUUGGCGAAGCCAGUUUGGCCCUGUUUUACGACUUUCUCGUUUCUUAAGGGAACCCCUGCAGUCGUUAAAUGAGUCACACGGUUGUGAAGCCAAUCCAGCUUCCCCGUUGCCUUCACUUGUCAGGAGGUCACAAAAGGAAGUCAUGUGACCCCCCCCCAGGGACAUGGCGACCGUCAUAAAUAUGAACCAGUUGCCAAGCAUCCAAAUUUUGAUAAUGUUGCAACGUCAGUCGUAAGUGUGUGAAAAAUGACUAUAAGUCACUUUCUUGAGUGGGUGUUUCUGUGUCUGUGUAUAGAGGAUGGAUGGAUGGAUGGAUGGAAUGGAUGGAUGGAUGGA
rnacentral:lncRNA from 1 species